GUACGUCAGCCAUCGACAUCGUCCGUACACCCACCCUCACUCUUAAUUUAAGACGUUUCUUCUUUCUCACGCAUCGUCAUAUAUUGUGUGAUUUCUUUAAAAAUGUUAUUAAAAAAACUCUACGAAGCAAAGUUUGUAAAACCAACCGUCAGAAGAUUUCUACGACAUUUUGUCUUUGUUUACGAAAAGAAUUUAACAAAAGCAU
rnacentral:sRNA from 1 species